CUUCCUAUUCUGUGAUUCAGAUGAGGGUACUGACAUGUACUCAGAACAUUCAUAACUCAUCUACUCGUUCACAUCCAUCAGACGGAAAAAAUCGCAUUAGAAAUCGUAGCAAAAAUUGCAUGAUUGUCAUGAAAACGGGCCUUACGAGAGGACGUAUCCUCGGUUGCUCGCUCUCUGAAGUCUGAAGAUCGCAAGUGCCGAGAGCCCCAUGCAACCCUAAAUAAAGUGCUAAACGCAAACUUGUUCACUUCGAUAGGUUUUCACCAGGGUUUGUAGUGUGUGUGUGUUUGUGUCACGUGUGUGUGUUUGUCAGCAUGGGCGAAUGGGCCGGGGGGGGCACGUGCCCCCCCCCCAAUUUUUACGGUCGGGUAAAAAUCAAUGCGAAAUUCGGGCAAGACAUAAAAAUUUCGGGAAAAUUUUGAUAUGCUGUGCAAAAAAAUUUUGUAUUUCGCGAAAAUUACGUGAUGUUGCGGAAAAUUUUCUGAAAUGUGCGGAAAUUUUUUUUUGAUAUGUUCGGGAAAAAUUUUUUUGGUGACCUCCUCCCCCUCCCCCCACUCGCCAACAAUUUUUGGGGAAAAUAUUAAUGUUCGGGCAAACUAUAAUGUGCCCCCCCCCCAAAAAAAAAGAUUAGGCCCAUACGCCCAUGUUUGUCAGCAGGAUAACUAUGAGGAUAACUAAGAAAAUAUCAAACGUACUCAUACAGAAUUUGUGAAGUUAAUGGUCAUUGGCCAAGCCGCCAAG